rnacentral:tRNA from 1 species
GGAACUGUGGCAGAGGUGGUCCUACAUGCGCAAGCCUGAAGAGCUUGAGAUUCCGGUUCGAUUCCGGACGGUUCCACAA